rnacentral:lncRNA from 1 species
AUAUAUAGAAUAAUACAUGAUAUUGGUCGAGUGAUGAUACAGUAUGCGAUACGGAUUUUUCCAUGUAUUAUUAUGUUCAUCACAUAUUUUAAUAAUAUCAAAUUUUGGGAUAUCCAUUUUUUGUUUUAAAUCGACGGUCCACUAACGAUACUGUCCAAAAUCAACAAAUAAUUAUAAGAUGUAGAAAUGUUUAAAGUUUUAUUGUUAAGUUUAAACAUAUUUAUUUACUGUAGAUUGGGGAACAAGUUUUUUCGCAACUUAUAUUAAUCCCUUUCCACUUUGCGAAUGCGAGUGCUGCCUUGUAGCGGCGUUAGCCUACUCUUUUUCGAAGUCGUAAAGGGUGUCUUUUACGUGCAAGAUAUAUGGCUCUCUCUUAAUACAGGUCAACCAUUUAUCGUCCCCUUCCAACGGACUAUCAUUGUUUCCCAAAGACCAUACUCGCAAAUGGUGACAAGGGAGAGCCAAAAAUUGAGUGUUUUUGUUUAUUUGGCGAUGAUAUCAUUCAUGAUUCUUUCAAUUUGCUGAAGAGGUGAACAGCAGUACAAUUAUUUCUUGAAAAGUUGCUAUCUACAUGUAUUCUAACCAAAAUUUAAACCGUAAAAAUUUGCAUUUGUGUUUAAUCCAUCACGAAAUGAAAACAAUCUUCACGAAAAUUAUGACCAAAUAAACAAUAAAACUUCAUAUAUUUCUACAUCUAAUAUUGUGUCUUUUUAUAUAUAUAUAUAUAAAAUCGAUCCUAAACUUACUGGGUAAUUGUUUUGGGAAAAAUAUCGAUUAUGAUAGGACAUUUUUUUUGGGGGGACUCAUUUUAUUCCCUAUGCCAGAAACUACAGCAACUGAACGUCAUAGUUCAAACGCUGACGUCAUUCGAAUUGUAAUGUCAUGGCAGGUACGGGUUAUGCAAUACAGGGUUGGUGAUACAGAUUGGAAAAAAACCUUUAUAAGAUAUACAAAAUUGCUGUAUUUUGUACUAAACAUAUGUCUCUUUUGAUAAAUACUUUUACAUACGUAAUAACUGGAAUGGUUAUUUGAAGCCAUUUUUCGUGGCCAAUUGGAUUUUUUUUCUAAAUACACACUUUUUGUCUUUAGAAUUGGAUUGGAAGUUCAAACGCAAAAGGUUUAUUGGCAACCUUUUCAAUAAUUUCUGCUUCAUGAAAAAUUUGUUUUACAUUUGAAACUUUGAAUUUGUUUUCUUUUCAGAACUUUCUAUUGAGUAUAGUUUUAAUUGUAACGUAAUUUUAAUCCGAACGCACUACCUUGCUCAACGUUACGCAAAGUAUGGCGUCGUAAGACGUACAUGUUCUGUUUAUAAUUGACGCUGUCCAUUUACGUUACUUAUCAGAAAAAUGAAAUUAACAAAGGUACUGAACUCCGAUGAAAAUACAAAAUUGAAAGUUUCUUUUUAAAUGGCUUGGUAAAUGCAUUUGUUUGCAAAUUUGUGAUUGAAAAAUUGAUAUUUAUACAAACAAAUUGUAAUUUACCUCCUCUAUCGAUUUUUAUCAAAUAAAUACAUACAUUUAUACAAUUAAGAUCGUUGGUUUUCCCGUUUGAAUGUUUUUACACUGGUA